AGCGAAACUAUUAUCUAACGCUAUGACACCAAACACGUGGUGGGAGCGAGCAUCGAGAUUGACUGUGGCAAGUGCCAACAAACAAAUAUUACGACAUUGGUACGACGAAACUGACCAAGAGCCGCCGAGGCCCCUAGAGCAUUACAGUUGUAAGUCCUCCGUGUACUCUUGAACUGCAAGUUGUUGUAGAAACUUCAAAAAAGAAAAGAUUUUAUCAGUGAAAUAAAAACACCUGACUGUGCUACAGCCAAAAGAGUUAGAAAGAUUAACUCCGAAACAGCUUGACCGUUUUGGCUGAUUUUUUUGUUGUGUUUGUAAUUGUCAGAACGAGAUUAGUAUGAAAGAAAAUGUUGGGAAAAUCUACUGGAAAAGUAGGAAACCUUCAAUUGUCUACCAAGUCCUCCAAUCCAAAAGUUUGCUGCUGUGAUGAAUUGCAUGAUGUCGGCUAUGGCGUUGGGAUGAUUGCGGAGUAUUUCGGCGAGUGGUUGAGGCUUGAUCGGAUGUUGUGAUAUGUAUGGCAUUCAGUGAAGAGAUAUUGAGUCUUAUAUGACUCGAGAAGUAAGUUAUAUAGUCUUGUCAGCCUGUUUUUAAUGCUAAUGUUUUUUUAUUUUAGGGCGGAUCGUGUCUAAUAUUUCAAUCAUUUCCAUCGGAAUAUUAUAUUAUUAUGGAUAUAAAAUAACAAAUCUCGAUUUUGGAGAAUAUGAAGGAUAGAGCCUAGUUUUUAAUCGAGGUUAGGUUAGGUUAGGUUAGUAAUUAGUACUAUGUUGUUGUGUAUUGUGUUAUUGUGUUUAGUUCUCUGAUAAUAUCAUGGUCAUAGAUUAACGGAAUUCGGACGUAGAAAAAGAUUUAAGGUGUUAAAGUAUUUGAUUAAUACCUAUAUUAGUAUUUAAUUUAAAAAUAUUAAAUAGGUGCAUAAAUUUUGAGAAAAUAUUUAAAAUAUAUGUAUCUAUGUAUUUGAGUACCUACUCAAAAAGUUUUUGAAUAUUUUAAUUUAAAAAUUUUACAAGUCUGUAUACAUGUUGGAUCGUAAUUCGUAUAUAAAAUAAUGUAUUGGACACAGGCAAAACUAUGUACUUAUUAAUAUUUAUUAUAAUUAUCAGUGUUCCCUGAGGAACAGACGAUGGUCGGUGGCUGACGGUGCGGGUGAGGACGACGUCUAAAGCAAUCAUCGUUUACAAAUUGGUUAAAUCAUUCAUCCCCGCUAUAGUGGCUUCGUUCAUGAAGAAAAUUACUUGAUAACUCUCUUUCUCCCUCCUUUAUUUUCUCCGCCAUCUGACGAUCUCCGAUUUUUUGUCAACUGCACUAUUAUCUAUUCGCUGUUUUUUUGUUAUCCUAUACAAUACACAUCCUACCUUUUCUAAACUGAGUGACUAUAUUAUACGAGGUAAGACGACGACAAGCCGUUCGAGUAAAGAAAAUCAAUCAUCUGAAACCACACAAGUUGCUAAAACUCUGGUAGACGCAUGAAAAAAGAAAUUAAAAUUAAAUAGAAAAUACUUACGCUCCCGCGGAACCUAAAAGCCUGAGUAAAACGGAUGUCUCACAACCAUGCCGGAAAUUAUCAUUCAAUGAUGGUUUUUUUUAGAAAAACCAACAUAUUUUGGACGUUUUUACUAAAUAAAAAAUAUAAAAAUAAUUUAAAAAACUGGUAAGUGCAUGUCGCUCUGCUGCGCAUUGGGUGUCUGGAAGGUCGCUAUAAUGGAUGGCAUUAAAUUUGUAUUCAAUGAUAUCCUAUCAUCGUAUACGAAAAACGAUUCUGAGCGGAGAAGGUAUGUCAGUCUAGGGUAUUUUAUAUUGUUAU